UACGAAGGGGGCUAGCGUUGUUCGGAUUUACUGGGCGUAAAGCGCACGUAGGCGGUUUGUUAAGUCAGGGGUGAAAUCCCACAGCUCAACUGUGGAACUGCCUUUGAUACUGGCAAGCUAGAGUCCGGAAGAGGUAAGUGGAACUCCUAGUGUAGAGGUGGAAUUCGUAGAUAUUAGGAAGAACACCAGGUGGCGAAGGCGG
rnacentral:rRNA from 1 species